AAUGAACGCUGGCGGCGUGCUUAACACAUGCAAGUCGGACGAGAAAGGCUGAUUUCGGUUGGCCGAGUAAAGUGGCGCACGGGUGAGUAACGCGUAGGCAACCUGCCCUUGUAUUGGGGAUAACCCUGCGAAAGUGGGGCUAAUACCGGAUGAGACCCUAUUCUGGAGGGGAUAGGGUGAAAGUCGGCCGCUCGGAGAAGCUGACGUACGAGGAUGGGCCUGCGUCCUAUCAGCUGGUUGGUGGGGUAGCGGCCUACCAAGGCGACGACGGGUAGCUGGUCUGAGAGGAUGAUCAGCCACACUGGCACUGGAACACGGGCCAGACUCCUACGGGAGGCAGCAGUGAGGAAUUUUGCGCAAUGGCCGCAAGGCUGACGCAGCAACGCCGCGUGGGUGAUGAAGGCCUUCGGGUCGUAAAGCCCUGUCAGGUGGGAAGAAAGGCCUGGAGAGGAAAGGUUUCAGGUUUGACGGUACCACCAGAGGAAGCACCGGCUAACGUCCGUGCC
rnacentral:rRNA from 1 species